GUUCGAGCGCCAUUUUCACCAUCGAGCCCUGCUCGGCGAUGGGCCUCGUCCUAACGGACGGGCUCGAAACCCGUGGGCGCCGUUGUCCGGCCCUGAGCGUAGCAAGAGAAAUCCCUCGCUCGGAGUGUCGUCCGGUGGCCGCCCCGACAACCAUUAACAAGGUUGGCCUCGGAUCAGGUGGGGAUACCCGCUGAACUUAA
rnacentral:misc_RNA from 1 species